rnacentral:rRNA from 2 species
UAUCAUUAAGCGGAGGAAAAGAAACUAACCAGGAUUCCCCUAGUAACGGCGAGUGAAGCGGGAAUAGCCCAGCACCGAAGCCUGCGGCAGUUUUGCUGUUAGGCAAUGUGGUGUUUGGGUCGGCUCGCGGGAUUGCCACUCCACUCAAAGUCCAGCAUUGAGUAUGGUCACUGGAUUUGGCCCAGAGAGGGUGAGAGGCCCGUACGGGUGGAGUAUCAGACAAGUUAGGCAAUUCACCAGGCCGGCCUUAGAGUCGGGUUGCUUGAGAAUGCAGCCCUAAGUGGGUGGUAAACUCCAUCCAAGGCUAAAUACAAGCACGAGUCCGAUAGCGAACAAGUACCGUGAGGGAAAGUUGAAAAGUACUCUGAAGAGAGAGUAAACAGUACGUGAAGCCGCAUGCAGGUAAACGGGUGGCGUCAAGCUGCGUGCCCAGAGGAUUCAGCUGGCUAGGGUGUUGUGUAUGCGCCUGUCGCAUCAAUCAGUCGGUGUGAGGUGUGGUAGUCUACUGGCAAAUCAGUGGGCCCGGCCGCAAGGUUGGGAUUUGUGUACCGGGCGUAAACCGGAGCGAGCUACCUAUCCGUUGGACUGCCUAGUCAGUGCACUUUCUCUGUGGUGAACACCACGACCGGUGGAAUUGCCAGUCUGCUAUAGCCAAGUCCUAUUCAGUGGGUCCUCGUGAUCAACUGGGUGGGAUCACAGACAAACUCAGUUAACGGCGUAGGGGUGUUUCGGCAUCUCUGCGUGAUAUCGGCGACUGGUUGUCAACGGGUCUGCCUGAUGGUUGUUGCAAUCGUCAUUUGGUGGCUCGGUGGGUUAUGGUGGUUUAACAACUGUGCAAGGCACCGUAGUUCUCGACCUCAAUUGCAUCCUGCAUACAUAUUGCAAGUGGAGUGGGGUGACAUUGCAGCCUGCCAGAUGUUGGGUCUGAUUGUCGUGUUGCCUGCGAAAAGUGGGCCCGGCGAUGGCCUGGCGCUGGAUGGGUUGUGUAUGCUGCCCUGCGUGUAGGAUGUAGUGGGUCAAACAGUCUGUGGUGUAGUGGUAGACCAGCCACCCGGCCCGUCUUGAAACACGGACCAAGGAGUUUAACAUGUAUGCGAGUCAAGGGGUCCUACGAAACCCAAAGGCGCAAUGAAAGUAAACCUGCGACUUGUUCUCGCAGAAAGGUGAGAUCCUGCCGUUACUCGCAUCAGUUUGCUAGCAGCAGGCUAAGAGCGGUGGGCGCAUCACCGGCCCGUCCCAUGGUGUGGUUGCUGGAUGUCUGCGGUCGCUGCUUGCAGUGGCUGUGGUGCCGGUGCGUCACCGGGGCGGUGCUUGAGCAUACAUGUUGAGACCCGAAAGAUGGUGAACUAUGCUUGCGUUGGUUGAAGCCAGAGGAAACUCUGGUGGAGGACCGCAGCGAUUCUGACGUGCAAAUCGAUCGUCAAACGUGAGUAUAGGGGCGAAAGACUAAUCGAACCAUCUAGUAGCUGGUUCCCUCCGAAGUUUCCCUCAGGAUAGCA